UAGGUGAACCUGCGGAAGGAUCAUUACCUAGAGUUGUAGGCUUUGCCUGCUAUCUCUUACCCAUGUCUUUUGAGUACCUUCGUUUCCUCGGCGGGUCCGCCCGCCGAUUGGACAAUUUAAACCAUUUGCAGUUGCAAUCAGCGUCUGAAAAAACUUAAUAGUUACAACUUUCAACAACGGAUCUCUUGGUUCUGGCAUCGAUGAAGAACGCAGCGAAAUGCGAUAAGUAGUGUGAAUUGCAGAAUUCAGUGAAUCAUCGAAUCUUUGAACGCACAUUGCGCCCCUUGGUAUUCCAUGGGGCAUGCCUGUUCGAGCGUCAUUUGUACCUUCAAGCUCUGCUUGGUGUUGGGUGUUUGUCUCGCCUCUGCGCGUAGACUCGCCUCAAAACAAUUGGCAGCCGGCGUAUUGAUUUCGGAGCGCAGUACAUCUCGCGCUUUGCACUCAUAACGACGACGUCCAAAAGUACAUUUUUACACUCUUGACCUCGGAUCAGGUAGGGAUACCCGCUGAACUUAAGCAUAUCAAUAAGCGGA
rnacentral:rRNA from 1 species